UACGAAGGGGGCUAGCGUUGCUCGGAAUCACUGGGCGUAAAGCGCACGUAGGCGGAUGUGCCAGUCAGGGGUGAAAUCCCGGAGCUCAACUUCGGAACUGCCUCUGAUACAGCACGUCUUGAGUCCGGAAGAGGUGGGUGGAAUUCCUAGUGUAGAGGUGAAAUUCGUAGAUAUUCGGAGGAACACCAGUGGCGAAGGCGGCUCACUGGUCCGGUACUGACGCUGAGGUGCGAAAGCGUGGGGAGCAAACAGG
rnacentral:rRNA from 1 species